UAGGUUAUCUUAAUUCAACAUCGAGGUGAUAAACUUUUUCUUCGAUAUGAACUCUAGGAAAAUAUUAUCCUGUUAUCCCUAAAGUAGCUUUUAUUUAUUAAUCAUUAUUUCUUUUUUUAAGAUAAUAAUGGGUCAUUAUACCCUACUUUGUAACUGUUAAAUUGAUUAAUUAAACAGUAAAUUAAUUUUUUUUUAUUAAUUUAGUAUGUCUCUGUUUUUUUUUAGAGAUCAUCGCCCCAAUGAAACUAGCCUUUCUUUAUUAAUUUUUUUUAAUUAAUUUUUUCAAAAUAUUUAUAUAAAGAAUUAUAGUUAAGCUUUAUAGGGUCUUUUCGUCUUACAAUAUUACAUAGCAUCUUAACUAUGAUUUUAAUUUUUUUUUUAUUUUAUAAGACAGAGGGAUUUUCGUUUAACCAUUCAUACUAUCCACUAAUUAAGUGGCGAAUUAUUAUGCUACAUUCAUACAGUCAUAGUUACGGCAGCCAUUUAGUUUUUUUUUUUAAUUUAUGAAAAAUUUCUUAUAACCAUUGGGC
rnacentral:rRNA from 1 species